GAAUUUUUCAUAAGUCUUUUAGAAUUUUUCUAGCACGUUUUCUGACCUUGAUUGGAAAUCCCAA